UAGGGAAUCUUCCGCAAUGGACGCAAGUCUGACGGAGCAACGCCGCGUGAGUGAAGAAGGAUUUCGGUUCGUAAAACUCUGUUGUUAGAGAAGAACAGCGCAUAGAGUAACUGUUAUGCGUGUGACGGUAUCUAACCAGAAAGCCACGGCUAACUACGUGCCAGCAGCCGCGGUAAUACGUAGGUGGCAAGCGUUGUCCGGAUUUAUUGGGCGUAAAGCGAGCGCAGGCGGUCAAUUAAGUCUGAUGUGAAAGCCCCCGGCUCAACCGGGGAGGGUCAUUGGAAACUGGUUUACUUGAGUGCAGAAGGGGGGAGUGGAAUUCCAUGUGUAGCGGUGAAAUGCGUAGAUAUAUGGAGGAACACCAGUGGCGAAGGCGACUCUCUGGUCUGUAACUGACGCUGAGGCUCGAAAGCGUGGGUAGCAAACAGG
rnacentral:rRNA from 1 species